rnacentral:rRNA from 1 species
UCCGUAGGUGAACCUGCGGAGGGAUCAUUACUGAGUUUACGCUCUAUAACCCUUUGUGAACAUACCUAUAACUGUUGCUUCGGCGGGUAGGGUCUCCGCGACCCUCCCGGCCUCCCGCCUCCGGGCGGGUCGGCGCCCGCCGGAGGAUAACCAAACUUUGAUUUAACGACGUUUUUUUUGAGUGGUACAAGCAAAUAAUCAAAACUUUUAACAACGGAUCUCUUGGUUCUGGCAUCGAUGAAGAACGCAGCGAAAUGCGAUAAGUAAUGUGAAUUGCAGAAUUCAGUGAAUCAUCGAAUCUUUGAACGCACAUUGCGCCCGCCAGCAUUUUGGCGGGCAUGCCUGUUCGAGCGUCAUUUCAACCCUCAAGCUUUGCUUGGUGUUGGGGCCCUACAGCUGAUGUAGGCCCUCAAAGGUAGUGGCGGACCCUCCCGGAGCCUCCUUUGCGUAGUAACUUUACGUCUCGCACUGGGAUCCGGAGGGACUCUUGCCGUAAAACCCCCCAAUUUUCCAAAGGUUGACCUCGGAUCAGGUAGGAAUACCCGCUGAACUUAAGCAUAUCAAUAAGCGGAGGA